rnacentral:rRNA from 1 species
GUAGGGGGCGAGCGUUGUCCGGAUUUAUUGGGCGUAAAGAGCUCGUAGGCGGCUUGGCAAGUCGGUCGUGAAAUCCCGAGGCUCAACCUCGGAUCGUCGGUCGAAACUGCCAUGGCUAGGGUCCGGUAGAGGAGAGUGGAAUUCCCGGUGUAGCGGUGAAAUGCGCAGAUAUCGGGAGGAACACCAGUAGCGAAGGCGGCUCUCUGGGCCGGUACCGACGCUGAGGAGCGAAAGCGUGGGGAGCAAACAGGGAUUAGAUACCCUGGUAGUCCACGCCGUAAACGUUGGGUACUAGGUGUGGCGAGUUGUACCCGACACUUGCCGUGCCGCAGCUAACGCAUUAAGUACCCCGCCUGGGGAGUACGGUCGCAAGGCUA